UUGAUUUAAAUGAAUUGCUGUAUUUGUUUAUAUACUGAUAAUAUUUCACAGGCUAACUGAUAAUUGGAAAUCGGCAUGAAUUAAUUAAUUCACAAGUUAGAAACAUUAACUAAUAGCAAUAGACAAAGGACACAACAGUUUUCACAAUGUUUCUGAUUCUGAAAACACGCUAUUCGCAAUGUUGUAGGAUUGACAGCUCGCAUGUUUCUAACAUAACAUAUUUUUUGCUAAUUGUGUAGCUCAUAAAACCUCGGAUUCUGGAUUUAUUUUGUAUUACACGAAGCUUGGCAAAAUAUCUUGUACAGUGGAAACACUUGAGUCUCUGCCUCGUCCACAUCAGCAAUAACUCAUCACUCCUACUCCAGGACAAUGACCCAAUAACAGGACAAUGACCCAACACCUCCUGGCUGUGUAAGGGCUAUUUGACCAAGAAGGAGAGUGAUGGAGUGCUGCAUCAGAUGACUUGGCCUCCACAAUCACCCGACCUCAUCCCGGUGGAGUUGGACCAGAGUAGCCACAAUGUGGAAGCAUUCCAGGUGGAGUUGGCAAAGCUAUCAUCAAGGCAAAGAGUGGUUACUUUGAAUAAUCCAAAAUCUAAAAUAUAUUUUGAUUUGUUUAACACUUUUUCUGGUCACUACAUGAUUCCAUAUGUGUUAUUUCAUAGUAUUGAUGCCUUCACUAUUAUUCUACAAUGUAGAAAAUAGUAAAAAAUAAAGAAAACCCCUUGAAUGCCAUCCUGAAAACCCUAGUAACAAUCUUUUGACUGUAUAUUUAGAAACACAUAUUUGAAUCACUGUUCUGCAAAAUAUGGUUAAACUAUUGAAAUAUUUUCUGUGCUAGACAUAACGAAUAAUGUUUGCUUCAUAAAUGUUGUUUUCUGUUCGGAAAAA